UGGAGAGUUUGAUCCUGGCUCAGGAUGAACGCUAGCGGCAGGCCUAAUACAUGCAAGUCGAACGCGAUUAAAGGGCUUGCUCUUUAUGAAAGUGGCGCACGGGUGCGUAACGCGUAUGCAACCUACCUUUAUCAGGGGAUAGCCCGGAGAAAUCCGGAUUAACACCGCAUAAAAUCACAGGAUAGCAUUAUUCAAUGAUCAAAUAUUUAUAGGAUAAAGAUGGGCAUGCGUGUCAUUAGCUAGUUGGCGGGGUAACGGCCCACCAAGGCGACGAUGACUAGGGAUCUGAGAGGAUGGCCCCCACACUGGUACUGAGACACGGACCAGACUCCUACGGGAGGCAGCAGUAAGGAAUAUUGGUCAAUGGAGGCAACUCUGAACCAGCCAUGCCGCGUGCAGGAAGACUGCCCUAUGGGUUGUAAACUGCUUUUAUCCGGGAAUAAACCUACUUACGUGUAAGUAGCUGAAUGUACCGGAAGAAUAAGGAUCGGCUAACUCCGUGCCAGCAGCCGCGGUAAUACGGAGGAUCCAAGCGUUAUCCGGAUUUAUUGGGUUUAAAGGGUGCGUAGGCGGCCUGUUAAGUCAGGGGUGAAAGACGGUAGCUCAACUAUCGCAGUGCCCUUGAUACUGAUGGGCUUGAAUGGACUAGAGGUAGGCGGAAUGAGACAAGUAGCGGUGAAAUGCAUAGAUAUGUCUCAGAACACCGAUUGCGAAGGCAGCUUACUAUGGUCUUAUUGACGCUGAGGCACGAAAGCGUGGGGAUCAAACAGGAUUAGAUACCCUGGUAGUCCACGCCCUAAACGAUGAACACUCGCUGUUGGCGAUACACAGUCAGCGGCUAAGCGAAAGCGUUAAGUGUUCCACCUGGGGAGUACGCCCGCAAGGGUGAAACUCAAAGGAAUUGACGGGGGCCCGCACAAGCGGAGGAGCAUGUGGUUUAAUUCGAUGAUACGCGAGGAACCUUACCCGGGCUUGAAAGUUAGUGAAUGAUUUAGAGAUAGAUCAGUGAGCAAUCACACGAAACUAGGUGCUGCAUGGCUGUCGUCAGCUCGUGCCGUGAGGUGUUGGGUUAAGUCCCGCAACGAGCGCAACCCCUAUGUUUAGUUGCCAGCAUGUAAUGAUGGGGACUCUAAACAGACUGCCUGUGCAAACAGAGAGGAAGGAGGGGACGACGUCAAGUCAUCAUGGCCCUUACGUCCGGGGCUACACACGUGCUACAAUGGAUGGUACAGAGGGCAGCUACAUAGCAAUAUGAUGCGAAUCUCACAAAGCCAUUCACAGUUCGGAUUGGGGUCUGCAACUCGACCCCAUGAAGUUGGAUUCGCUAGUAAUCGCGUAUCAGCAAUGACGCGGUGAAUACGUUCCCGGGCCUUGUACACACCGCCCGUCAAGCCAUGGAAGCUGGGGGUACCUAAAGUAUGUAACCGCAAGGAGCGUCCUAGGGUAAAACCGGUAACUGGGGCUAAGUCGUAACAAGGUAGCCGUACCGGAAGGUGCGGCUGGAAUACCUCCUUU
rnacentral:rRNA from 1 species